rnacentral:misc_RNA from 1 species
GAUGAAGAACGUAGCGAAAUGCGAUAAGUAAUGUGAAUUGCAGAAUUCAGUGAAUCAUCGAAUCUUUGAACGCACAUUGCGCUCGCCAGUAUUCUGGCGGGCAUGCCUGUCUGAGCAUCAUUUCAACCCUCAUGCCCCUAGGGCGUGGUGUUGGGGAUCGGCCAAAGCCCGCGAGGGACGGCCGGCCCCUAAAUCUAGUGGCGGACCCGUCGUGGCCUCCUCUGCGAAGUAGUGAUAUUCCGCAUCGGAGAGCGAUGAGCCCCUGCCGUUAAACCCCCAACUUUCCAAGGUUGACCUCAGAUCAGGUAGGAAUACCCGCUGAACUUAAGCAUAUCAAUAAGCGGAGGA